UCCAUUAUCACAGCAGGAAGCAUGGCACC
rnacentral:piRNA from 1 species